AACGUAGGUGGCGAGCGUUAUCCGGAUUUACUGGGCGUAAAGGGUGUGCAGGCGGGUGUUCAAGUGGUGUAUGAAAGGUUUCGGCUCAACCGAGAUAGGUUAUGCCAGACUGUUUACCUAGAGUGUGAGAGAGGGACGUGGAAUUCCGGGUGUAGUGGUGAAAUGCGUAGAUAUCAGGAGGAACACCUAUUGCGAAGGCAGCUCGCUGGGACGUAACUGACGCUGAGACGCGAAAGCGUGGGGAGCAAACAGG
rnacentral:rRNA from 1 species